GACGAACGCUGGCGGCGUGCUUAACACAUGCAAGUCGAGCGGUAAGGCCCUUUCGGGGGUACGACGAGCGGCGAACGGGUGAGUAACACGUGGGUGACCUGCCCUUAGCUCUGGGAUAAGCCUGGGAAACUGGGUCUAAUACCGGAUAUGACUCCAUGACGCAUGUUGUGGGGUGGAAAGCCUUGUGCGGCUAGGGAUGGGCCCGCGGCCUAUCAGCUUGUUGGUGGGGUGAUGGCCUACCAAGGCGACGACGGGUAGCCGGCCUGAGAGGGCGACCGGCCACACUGGGACUGAGACACGGCCCAGACUCCUACGGGAGGCAGCAGUGGGAAUCUUGCGCAAUGGGCGAAAGCCUGACGCAGCGACGCCGCGUGA
rnacentral:rRNA from 1 species